GUAUGUAUAGCUCAGUUGGUAGAGCAUGAGACUCUUAAUCUCAGGGUCAUGGGUUUGAGCCCCAUGUUGGGCA